GAUGAACGCUGGCGGCGUGCCUAACACAUGCAAGUCGAGCGAACACACGCGUAGCUUGCCCCUCUGAUGUUAGCGGGGGAAGGGAUAGUAAGAAGUGGGUACCCUCCCUAUAGAUCUGGGAGCAAUACGGGAACUCGGAGCUAAUACCGGCUACUGUUUUGAACAGCAUGGUUCAAAAGUGUACGCGGGUCUUGCUGUCCCUUAUAGAUGGAUCCGUGGUGCAUUAGCUAGUUGGUGAGGUCAACGCUUACCAAGGCAACGAUGACUAGGCGGUCUGAGAGGAUGAUCCGCCACCAUGGGACUGAGACCCGGGCCCGACUCCUAAGGGAGGGCGCAGUGGGGAAUUUUGGACAAUGGGCGCAAGCCUGAACCAGCCAUGCCGCGUGAAGGAUGAAGGCCUUCGGGUUGUAAAAUCCUUUUGUUAGGAAAGAAAAGCAUUCUUAUAAAACAGGAGGGUCCUGACGGUACCGUAAGCAUAAGCCCCGGCUAACUACGUG
rnacentral:rRNA from 1 species